rnacentral:lncRNA from 1 species
AUUGCCGUGAGGACCAACGUGAAGCCAUGAAAAUGGUUCCGUGCGUCUUUCCUUCUCCAGGAGAAUAUGGAAACCUAAUAGUGAAGCCACCCUGGUGAGAGCAGAGAUCAAGAUUCAAAGAUGCCAUCCUGAGACUUCUUUGAAACCCUGGGGUCCCUUUCUGUUUAGCUUGAUUGGGAAAUUUGUAAUUCUGAGACUAUCAUUAGACUUACUUGGUGAAGAAUGCUCAGGCUGAACUGAAAACUAUGAAGCCACUGCUCUAGAAAGAAAAUACAUUUGGUUGUGCUAUAUUAUUUAAAUUUGAGCAGAAGUAUGCUGCAUCAGAUCUUCAUUUAAACCAUAGGAAAUGAAUACUGAAUUCUAAUACCUCUGCUGGAGAAGAACACAGAGAGACAGUAUUCAACUUUACAUUAUUGACUUGCACAUGGGCCUUUUCUUUUGGAGAUGAGGAGUUCAACUAGUUAGAACCACCUCAAUUAGAUGAUGUAUUCAUCACUGGGAUCAGAAAUGAUUUUCUGUUUAAUUUCAAACUCUUUCCAAGCAACUCUAAAAAAACGCAGACAAUAUUAUCGACUUUAUUUUGCACAUCAUGAGAGAGAAACCAGUAUAAAGCUAAGAAUUAAUCACCUUUUAAGAGAGAAUUCUCAGAGUUGAGGUCAAAGCGAACAUUUCAGUGUGACCAGGCAGCCAGAGAAGGGUUCCUAAGAUUGUAAGAGGCAUCUAGUUCAAAGGCAUUUGAGGCAUUUCUCUUUGGAAAUGUGACUAUACUCUCUCCAGUCUGACUACUUAUCUUCCCAGGCAAUCUCUCCUCCUUACAAACACUCAUGAUACUAUCACAACCUGAUAUAACCACUGAUUUAUCAGGCUGAGCCUUAGGUUUUAGACUUCCAACCUUCAAGAUUAUAAAAGAUGUAUACUGGGCAUGUCAAAUUUACAUAUAUCCAACCUCAGAUUUUUUUGCAACAGUAGAAAACAAUCUAAUAUAAUAAUCAUAUAUAUAUAUAUAUAUAUAUAUAUAUAUGAAUAUAAAAUAAUUAAAUAAGCCUUUAAUAUCACCAGAGAAGUUGUUAAAUAUUCUCCCAUUUCACCAACCUACAGAAGUUAGUCCUUUCUUUUGGGUGGAGGUAAACAUCAUUAAAAUGUCAGUUGAGGCAAGGAAACCAAUGAUGUUUUUCUAUAUAAUACUGAGAAUAGAUUAUUCAUUUUAUAGAUAAAUAAUGAAAAAUGGACGUAAUUUGUUUUUCAAUUUGACAUGCCCAAUAUAUUGUUUUGGUGAAAAAAAAAAACUACUUAAAUUUCAAAAGAGCAACUCUGAUUGACUUCUGAAUACUAAAACUCAUGCUGCCACCAACGUCUCACGUAGAUAGGAGUGGUGGGCACUUCAUGGGCAUCCCUAGAGCACAAUAAGGAGAGUGCUGUGUGCAGCUGAGCUCUCACUUUCAAGAAACAUGAUAGCAGGCAUCAGCUUAAUGGCACAGAGUGUCCAGAGCUCUUGUCCCAUGAGUCAGGAAAUGGAUGCACCCAGGGUACCUGGGAGGGAGUGUUUCCUCCCUGCCCUUUGCAGAAUCUCUCCUAGUGUUUUCUUUGGGGAAGAGAUGCUUGAAAGAUACAUCAAAAGGGCUUGUUCACAAUAGAUUCUUAAUUGUGGAAAAACAUACAAACAUUGUGUUUAUGUGGUAUUAAGAUAUGAAGGCAGCAUCUUAUACACUGGGACUAGGUUUAAAAAUGGCUGUGAGAUGUCACCCGAGUUCUAGGAACUGAGCCCUGGUCUUCUGGAAGAGCUAAGACAUCUCUCCAGCCACCUACUUGGUAUCCUGAAUGCUGACUACUUAAGCCAUUUGCUGCUGCGUAAUACUAAAAGGCUGUGCAGAGGGAAUGAGCUUCCUGAUAAACUGAUAUUUCCACAUU